rnacentral:rRNA from 1 species
AACGAACGCUGGCGGCAGGCCUCAAACAUGCAAGUCUAGGGGGUGUAGCAAUACAUCACCGGCGGACGGGUGCGUAACGCGUGAGAAUAUACCUAUUGGUUCGGAACAACUGAGGGAAACUUCAGCUAAUACCGAAUGUGCCCUAACGGGGAAAGAUUUAUCACCAAUGGAUUAGCCCGCGUUCGAUUAGCUAGUUGGUGGGGUAACGGCCCACCAAGGCGACGAUCGAUAGCUGUUCUGAGAGGAAGAUCAGCCACACUGGGACUGAGACACGGCCCAGACUCCUACGGGAGGCAGCAGUUGGGAAUCUUGGACAAUGGGGGAAACCCUGAUCCAGCCAUGCCGCGUGAGUGAUGAAGGCCUUCGGGUUGUAAAACUCUUUCGCGCACGACGAUAAUGACGGUAGUGCGAGAAGAAGCUCCGGCUAACUUCGUGCCAGCAGCCGCGGUAAUACGAAGGGGGCUAGCGUUGUUCGGAAUUACUGGGCGUAAAGCGCGCGCAGGCGGCUAUCCAAGUCAGUGGUGAAAGCCCGGAGCUCAACUCCGGAACUGCCAUUGAAACUGUUUAGCUUGAGUAUGAGAGAGGUGAGUGGAAUUCCCAGUGUAGAGGUGAAAUUCGUAGAUAUUGGGAAGAACACCGGUGGCGAAGGCGGCUCACUGGC